CUUGGUCAUUUAGAGGAAGUAAAAGUCGUAACAAGGUUUCCGUAGGUGAACCUGCGGAAGGAUCAUUAAAGAGUAAGGGUGCUCAGCGCCCGACCUCCAACCCUUUGUUGUUAAAACUACCUUGUUGCUUUGGCGGGACCGCUCGGUCUCGAGCCGCUGGGGAUUCGUCCCAGGCGAGCGCCCGCCAGAGUUAAACCAAACUCUUGUUAUUUAACCGGUCGUCUGAGUUAAAAUUUUGAAUAAAUCAAAACUUUCAACAACGGAUCUCUUGGUUCUCGCAUCGAUGAAGAACGCAGCGAAAUGCGAUAAGUAAUGUGAAUUGCAGAAUUCAGUGAAUCAUCGAAUCUUUGAACGCACAUUGCGCCCCUUGGUAUUCCGAGGGGCAUGCCUGUUCGAGCGUCAUUACACCACUCAAGCUAUGCUUGGUAUUGGGCGUCGUCCUUAGUUGGGCGCGCCUUAAAGACCUCGGCGAGGCCACUCCGGCUUUAGGCGUAGUAGAAUUUAUUCGAACGUCUGUCAAAGGAGAGGAACUCUGCCGACUGAAACCUUUAUUUUCUAGGUUGACCUCGGAUCAGGUAGGGAUACCCGCUGAACUUAAGCAUAUCAAUAAGCGGAGGAAAAGAAACCAACAGGGAUUGCCCUAGUAACGGCGAGUGAAGCGGCAACAGCUCAAAUUUGAAAGCUAGCCUUCGGGUUCGCAUUGUAAUUUGUAGAGGAUGAUUUGGGGAAGCCGCCUGUCUAAGUUCCUUGGAACAGGACGUCAUAGAGGGUGAGAAUCCCGUAUGUGACAGGAAAUGGCACCCUAUGUAAAUCUCCUUCGACGAGUCGAGUUGUUUGGGAAUGCAGCUCUAAAUGGGAGGUAAAUUUCUUCUAAAGCUAAAUAUUGGCGAGAGACCGAUAGCGCACAAGUAGAGUGAUCGAAAGAUGAAAAGCACUUUGGAAAGAGAGUUAAAAAGCACGUGAAAUUGUUGAAAGGGAAGCGCUUGCAAUCAGACUUGUUUAAACUGUUCGGCCGGUCUUCUGACCGGUUUACUCAGUUUGGACAGGCCAGCAUCAGUUUCGGCGGCCGGAUAAAGGCUCUGGGAAUGUGGCCUCCACUUCGGUGGAGGUGUUAUAGCCCAGGGUGUAAUACGGCCAGCCGGGACUGAGGUCCGCGCUUCGGCUAGGAUGCUGGCGUAAUGGUUGUAAGCGACCCGUCUUGAAACACGGACC
rnacentral:rRNA from 1 species